rnacentral:rRNA from 1 species
AGAGUUUGAUCCUGGCUCAGAGCGAACGCUGGCGGCGUGCUUAACACAUGCAAGUCGAGUGCGCAGUUCCCUGUAGCAAUACAGGGGAUGGGCGCACGGCGCACGGGUGCGUAACACGUGGGCAAUCUGCCCUCGGAUGGGGGAUAACCCCGCGAAAGCGGGGCUAAUACCGCAUGACAUUCCGAAGACUCCGGUCUUUGGACUCAAAGGCCGCAAGGCCGUCUGAGGAGGAGCCCGCGCCCGAUUAGCUAGUUGGUGAGGUAACGGCUCACCAAGGCUUUGAUCGGUAGCCGGUCUGAGAGGAUGGCCGGCCACACUGGAACUGAGACACGGUCCAGACUCCUACGGGAGGCAGCAGUGGGGAAUAUUGCGCAAUGGGCGAAAGCCUGACGCAGCGACGCCGCGUGGGGGAUGAAGCUUCUCGGAGUGUAAACCCCUUUCGACCCGGACGAAUGACCCGCAAGGGUUUGACGGUACGGGUAUAAGAAGCCCCGGCUAACUACGUGCCAGCAGCCGCGGUAAUACGUAGGGGGCCAGCGUUGCUCGGAAUUACUGGGCGUAAAGGGUUCGUAGGUGGUGCGGCAAGUUGGAAGUGAAAUCUCUGGGCUUAACCCAGAGGCUGCUUUCAAAACUGCCGCGCUCGAGUGCGAGAGAGGCCAGUGGAAUUGCAGGUGUAGCGGUGAAAUGCGUAGAUAUCUGCAGGAACACCCGUGGCGAAGGCGGCUGGCUGGAUCGCAACUGACACUGAGAACGAAAGCUAGGGGAGCAACAGGAUUAGAUACCCUGGUAGUCCUAGCCCUAAACCAUCGGAACUUGGGUGCCCGCGUAGCGGGUCGUCCGUAGCUAACGCGUUAAGUUCCGCGCCUGGGAGUACGGCGCAGACUGAACUCUCAAAGGAAUUGACGGG